rnacentral:rRNA from 1 species
UCCGUAGGUGGAUAAUUAAGUCAGAGGUGAAAUCCUGCAGCUCAACUGUAGAAUUGCCUUUGAUACUGGUUAUCUUGAGUCAUUAUGAAGUGGUUAGAAUGUGUAGUGUAGCGGUGAAAUGCAUAGAUAUUACACAGAAUACCGAUUGCGAAGGCAGAUCACUAAUAAUGUACUGACACUGAGGGACGAAAGCGUGGGGAGCGAACAGGAUUAGAUACCAUGGUAGUCC